GAGAGCCGUAUACCUUGAGAGGGGUACGUACGGUUCGGGGGGGAGUUCUCGGAAACCUAAGACCGAGAGGUCUUAAGGCGCCGGGUUCUUACCCUAC
rnacentral:ncRNA from 1 species